CUCUACCAACCACACAGUGUGUUUGUAACAUAAUAACUGUAUAUGUUUUUGGUUAUUCACUGUCCUUUAGACUUGAUGACUUAAAACAUUGGUGAUUGUCCAUCCUGUAGACUGCUGGUACUAAUAUAUCGGUAUAGGAAUCAGGAGCUUUAUGAAACGCUGAUACUACUUCCCCUAUUGUUCUAAUCAUAGUUGUUAAGACAGACUUGUUUUGAGAAGGGAGGAGCCUACUGCAUACUAACAGUAUGAGCAACACCUCCAUGGUAAUAACAAAUGUGUAAUGAGAAUAUUAUUGUAUUUAAGUGUUGAAUUUCUCCUCAGAAUUCCACUCGUCAAGUAACUGUUUCAGAGCUGUUAAUGCAAUGCAUCUGAACUCCCUGAGCAAGACAUUGUUUAGUUUUUACUAGAAUAGGGUGUGUACUUAUUUAUUAACUAUGUAGACUAACUACUGUAUGUCUCAGUGCAUUUUGUACAAGGAAUGAGAGUGAUGAAGCUCUGUAGAUAACAGAUGGAAUGUACUGUAUGGAACAAAAGAGGUGUCUCUUUUGGCAAAUCCUGGUGUGCCCAAAUUCUAACCCGAAUGCUUAUUGACUCCUCCCAAAAAAAGUCACGCUGUCUUUCAGAAUUUAUAAUUGUCAAUCAAUCAGAAUUAUACAGCGUUAUUGUCCACAAAACAUUUGGUUAGGUGAGGUGUUCUGACAAGAUUAUCCAGAAGGCCUAUUCCAAACUUCAGGACGUGUAUACUGUAGUUCUUAUUUAUGUUAUGAUUCCUUUCUGUAAGUCAUAGCCUUUUCCUUCACACCCCUGUUACGCUUGUCAGUAUUUCAACCCCCAGAAUCUCUGCCAAGAAUUCAAGUCUGAGCUGGUAAAGUUAUGUUUCAAUUGGAGUGACUAAAUCCCCUUACCUGUUUUGAUGUUGUUUCAGAGGAGCAAAAGAGAGAAUAUCUACAAAAUUCUGCUUGAAUUUUGAAUGAAAGGUAUUAGAGCAUUAAGCCACUGUUAUCCAUUGGCUUGUGAUGUAAUAGGACAUCUAGCUAUUGAGGGAACCUCAAAUACAAAUGCAUGUAAUCAAUGAUGGCUGCGAAAAUGCUGAGUGCUAAAAGAAUAUAAACAGAUCGAGGAAUACUGAGGAGGGUAAUAAAAGCGAGAUAAACUCUUCACAGAAGAAAAUGUAUUGUCAGUAAGAAAGAUAAUAGAAUCUCAAUAUGCUGAAUAUAAAGUAAUGUUUUGUGCCUUUGCACUUCAGGACUACAUUGCACAUAUGUGACAGGAAUAGUAUAUGCGAUGCUGUUACUAACUCCAUAAGCUGUGAAAACCGAGAAAUGUAGAUCAAGUAUACCUCUCCUAGGCGUCGUCAGACCUCCACCAGACAUUGCAGAAGCAGAAUAAUAUGUUGAAUAAUGUGAUUACCACUUACGUUUUGGGGGAAACAGUCUGGCCCCUUAUACCUGCCACUAUCGUUGCUACUAUUGCUUACAUGCCAUCACUUGAAAGAGGGUGAAUGUAUAGUUCUGAUUAUAGAAUGGAAUAACUAGAAUGGGAGUAACACAGACCACUGUGAUUCUAUUUCUAUGGUUCUGAUGCCUCAUGAGUAGAAACCGAUUUUGACAUAAUAGGACUGCAGUUCAACACAUAAUCAACCUCGCAGAAUAUACUCUAAUGCUUUAAUCACAGUUCAUCACAGUCCAUAUGUAAAUUAACUAAGGGACAAUUGCAUGGCUGUACAAAAAUCAUGCAGAUUGUGGGUGAAUUAUCCCAUCACUUUAAGAUGAUUACAUUGGCCUAGGAUAAUAAGUGCUUCGACAUGGAUAUGUCACAUGCCACUCAUAAUAGAUAAGUAAAUGAUCCAACAUGAAAUAGCCUACAUUAUUUUAAGAAAUCAGAAUUACACAUUUAACCUAUUGAUAUGCUGUAAGACUAAUAUUGCUGUUACCCUCUUAGUAUGCUUUCCAAGGGAAUGUUGUUGCUGUUGCUCCACCAGGAGCUGUGGUAGGAGGAUCAGAUCAAUAGGUGAAUUUGGGGUGCCAUUUGGGACACAGCCUGUUUUCGAACGCCAUAACCAGAGGGCCAAGUUAACAUGUGGUCUGCUCUUCUAUUUGAACAGAUGAGAUACUAUAAAGUAUCUCUCUGUUUUAUCUGGUGCACAGCAUGCAGAUCUUUGUAUUUACAUCUGAGAGAAGAUUUGAAGAAUUUUCUGUGUGAGGAAGGGAGUGUAAUCAAAAGACUGCAUUUAUCCAACAAUGUUGAGAACAGACUUCACUCUAUUAAUCAUUUGCAUAGCAGAUGGAAAAAGAUCAUCUAGUGUUUCAGAAUUGUCAGUCUUCCCCCCAUUACUUUACCAAUCACAGGUUCACAAUGCACUGGAGAAACAACUCACACUGGAUCACAACUCAAACCCACAAUCUGUUCCUUUGUUGUGUGAUUUAAUCAGGCAUAGUUAAUGAGUGGAAUAAUUUCCUGUCCUUUAUUUAUUUCAUUGUAUUUAUGACUACUAGACACAGCUAUGUAAUUAAUUUGUCAGUUGAUGCAACAUUACUAUUUAGCUGAGAAAUAGCCACAAGGAUUGUUGAAAUGUGUACUUUACCUGUUUGGAUUAAGAUCCCAGUUCUAUGCUAUCUGUAUUAUUUGCCAUGAAGAAUGUGAAGGAAGGUUGGGACUGUGGAAAAGUUAUUUUGAUGAGUAUCUGG
rnacentral:lncRNA from 1 species